GGGAGAUUUCCCUAAACUUUCCUGGUAGAUGACAUCCGAAAGAGCCUCCCGUGGAUGAGAAGGAAAGUCUCUAGUGAAUUUCUAUAUCUUAACCAGAAGGAAAAGUCUGUUUCAUCCAAUUUUAAAGUGUCUUCACAAAGUUAGAAAACAUAAACAGAUCACUCCUGUCUAUCAGGAACUCAGCUGAGCAGAUGACAGACCUGAGCUGUCAGGUGUCAGAGUAACUAAUUAAAAACAAGGAACCAAAAUGAAAGUGAUAGUGAAGUCUCUCAUCACUGACUGUGAAAGGAUAAACCGGUCUAACCCAAAGGACUUGCCAGCUGCCCACUGUUCCAUUUUCCCUCAUGGAAGAUCGUGCUGGUCAAAGGUCAGGUAGAUCAGCAUCCGUGUGGGACUCAUCUCACUGCCUGAACAAAAGGAUCGAGUUUUAUGGACCCUGGAGACCAAAGGAGAGGGCAAAGAGGAAGAACUAGGAGUUAAAGACAUUCAGUAACAUCCUGAUAGGAAUCAAUUAUCAGCCAGAAUCUGCAAGAUUUUUAGAAAGUACUGCUGUAUAAGAUGGGGAACUGUGGCCUCAUACAGUACACAAAGAAUUAUGAAGGGGUGAGAAAUCUGCAUGCUCUCUGUCAUCUUUGUGCUCCAGUUCAGCUCUGUUCUCAAAGCUAACAUACCUCAGAUAGUUUUUGUAACUAACACAGCUUUCUUUAUCCCUAUAUUGAAGGAAAAAAGGCAGGCACCAAGAAAAAUGAAAUAAAGGCAUAGAUUUUUUAGACAGUC